AGUGAACGCUGGCGGUAGGCCUAACACAUGCAAGUCGAACGGCAGCACAGUAAGAGCUUGCUCUUACGGGUGGCGAGUGGCGGACGGGUGAGGAAUACAUCGGAAUCUACUUUUUCGUGGGUGAUAACGUAGGGAAACUUACGCUAAUACCGCAUACGACCUACGGGUGAAAUCAGGGGAUCUUCGGACCUUGCGCGAUUGAAUGAGCCGAUGUCGGAUUAGCUAGUUGGCGGGGUAAAGGCCCACCAAGGCGACGAUCCGUAGCUGGUCUGAGAGGAUGAUCAGCCACACUGGAACUGAGACACGGUCCAGACUCCUACGGGAGGCAGCAGUGGGGAAUAUUGGACAAUGGGCGAAAGCCUGAUCCAGCCAUACCGCGUGGGUGAAGAAGGCCUUCGGGUUGUAAAGCCCUUUUGUUGGGAAAGAAAAGCAGCAGGUUAAUACCCCGCUGUUCUGACGGUACCCAAAGAAUAAGCACCGGCUAACUUCGUG
rnacentral:rRNA from 1 species